UACGUAGGGGGCAAGCGUUGUCCGGAAUUAUUGGGCGUAAAGAGCGUGUAGGCGGUCCGGUAAGUCGGCUGUGAAAGUCCAGGGCUCAACCCUGGGAUGCCGGUCGAUACUGCCGGACUAGAGUUCGGAAGAGGCGAGUGGAAUUCCCGGUGUAGCGGUGAAAUGCGCAGAUAUCGGGAGGAACACCUAUGGCGAAGGCAGCUCGCUGGGACGUUACUGACGCUGGAGACGCGAAAGCGUGGGGAGCGAACCGG
rnacentral:rRNA from 1 species